UUGCAGCAAGUCCCACCAUCUGCCUGAGUCUGUUUUCAUCUCCACAAUGGAGGUGGUGAUGCCCAGCACACGGAGCUGUGAUGAGGAUUUAAUGGGGAAUCCAGAGCAUUUAUGGAAGUGCCAGGAGGCCAAGAUUCUGCAUAGUGAGAAGGGCUGAAUAUCACCUGUGAGCCUGCCCCUGCUCCCAAGAACACCCUUUGGACACCUGUGGGCUCUGCAAGGUUGGUGUAACCCCUACAGAUGAGGAAACCAGAGACAGAGAAGUGAAGUAACUCAUGCAGGUGACGGCAGAGGGCAGAGUCAGGACUUGAACCUGGAGAGCCUGGCUCUAAAGCCCAAGCUGGAAUCUCGAUACUCUACACCUCGAUAAGUUUUUGGGAAAUGACUGACUAAACAGAUGAACGCGUUUGCCCCCCCGCCGCCCCAGAGCCCCCUUAAAGCCUACAUGUGGCAGUUUGGGCCCAUUUCCUUGGCUUCCCUCCCUGGAGGGGCACCCACUGCCAGUGUCCCUGCUGAAAUUUAGCAUCAUAUUCCAUGGCGAUUUUCCACCAGUGGAAAUCACAGGUGUUCUCUGGUAUCACAGCGGGGUCAGGGAUGACCUGAAAUAUUGUUCAUGCUCAUCACAACUGCAUGGCCCACCGCGGGGUCUUGUCACUCAGUGAGUUCUUGAAGAGGCACAGACAAAUGGAGUUCAACAAAUGGAAAACAACUGCCUUUAAUUAGCUCCGAGGACUACAAAGGGAACAACGUUAUAAUAGCAGCAACUCCAAGGAAGCAGCCACAGCUCUCAGCUCUCAGACCUGGGGCUGCCGCUCAUCAUCAGCUACAGCUAGGUUUGAUGGGAGUGCCCCCAUUUCAGGGGACAGCAGGCCCCCUUCACUCCCCGACUCAGUCCCCAUCUGCAGCAGCACAGCCUUCCUUGGCCUCACCAGGGAAGAAGAACAGGCCCCGCUCUCAGACAAGCCUUCCCAGAAGCCUGAGGACUCAAACACCCAAAUGUGUCUGGGUCCCUGCCCCGAGCCGGCCACCCAGGCAGCAGCCCUGAAUCACUCGGUCAGCCAGCGGCAGGGCAGGCCAAUGGGCUGGAGGGUAGGCAGGCAGGCAGACCCACCUCUGCAUCUCUGCUGACUGCCUCGGCUGAGGAAAGGCAGCACCAGCCCCCAACCCUGAAGUUCUAGAUCUCAUGCAGCCUCUCUGUUCUGGAACCAUCCAGAGGCACUGCCCUUAUACAUGGUCCACCCCCAGGCUCAGACAAUGAGAAUUCCACAAGCAGAGGGGACUCUAUUUGGGGCACAGAGAGGUUAAGUAACUCCCCUCCUAAGGUCUCUCAGCAAGGAAGCCACUGAGCCGUGGGACUUGAGCUCAGGGACUCUUGAUCCCCAGUCUCAGGUGUCACAGCCCCAUCUGGGCUCCUGCUAGGGAGGAGGAAGGCAGCAGGGGGUGUCUGAGGCCAGGGUGCAUCAGCCCUAAAUGCCAGACAGAGGCAGGAGAAGUCUCCCCAUGAGUCCCAGCCCCAUUAGAGGCUCCAGGUCGGGGAUCCCAGACCCCCUAUCCUUGCUGGGAGACACAACCCAGAACUCUGCAUCCCUGCAGCCACCAAAAAAGGCAAAAGCUGCCCAGAAACACUUUCUCCUCUUCCGUGGCCAAAUCCACGAACUUUCUCGAGGUCUGUCCCCCUGCCCCGUGCAGGUCCAGCUUCAGUGCAGCCCAGCUCUGUGCAGUUUUCCACAAAAGCCUGUGGCUUCCUUCUCCUCCCUCUGCUUCUGAUACCCCAGGAGUUACACACAAAAUGUUGGCGGUGGUCUCCAGGAAGACCCCUGCAUCCCACAGCUCUCCCCAGAAGUUGCCAGCAGUGACCUCCUGAGCCCAGGUGGGGAGUCCCAGGCAGGACAGGGGCUGGGGCUGCAGGCCCUGGGGCCCUGUUAGUGAAGCAGCAAGCCGAGGGUCCCUGAGAGUUUCCCUUGGCCCCUCUGAGGGCUGCCCUUUGAGGUCUUGAGGUCUUGGAGUAUCCAUCGCCCCCACGGCUUACUGUCCCCACCAGCGGAGGAUGAAAGUGCCACAGCGAUGUUCCACGCCAAGAGACCACAGAGACCACCAACCCCUCUUCCCACCUCAGGCUUUCAGAGGCCAGCGGAUUUAGGCGGACAGGCUGUGCGCUUGAGGGCAGCCAGGGCGGUCAGUGGAGGGACGUGGUCCGGGGCCUGGCCACAGCUCCCCACCCAGGGCCCUGGGCUAUUGUUACUCACCGCGGAUGAAGGUCGGCGAGUAGGUCGGGAAGGAGUCGAAGAUGCUGUUCGAUGCCAUGCCCCGCUCUGAAGAAGGCCAGGCUGCGAGGCCCAGGGUGGUGACGC
rnacentral:lncRNA from 1 species